rnacentral:lncRNA from 1 species
UGGUUCUCGAAUAUUUGCUGCAAUUUACGGUACUGACAUCUCUGGUUGUUCAGUUCAUUCAGUUGGUCACAGCAUUGUUCCAAUUCUUCUGAUUCCUCGCUAUUCCUGCUACGUCGAAUAACAUGCUUGAUUCCUCGUAAGGUCCUAGAACGAUCUUCUUCCUCCUCUUGCUGCUGUUAAAUCCUCUGAAUCAGGUUCAGCUGCUGGAGUUACCUGACGUAGCUUUGUUCAGAUCGGAAGGCGCUGGUGUGGACCACUAAAACAAGAGCAGCAAAGAGAGCAAUGAGAAUUGUGAGCCUAGCCAUUUCAGUAAGAAUGCAAUGACUACUAUGUUUUAACUUUGUUGAUGAUGGGUUAAGCAUGGAGAGUGGAUAAGCAUUAUGUAGAGGAUAUGGGAUAUUGCAUGUCAAUUACGUGGAAGGGAAGUGGUGUCGGUGGAAUUUUGUGUUUUGAUGGGGUGGGUGGAUGUGUUUGCUUUUUUAUUUGCUUCAGUGCUUACACCUCAUAGUUUCAUGCAGAUAUUGACACAAGAGGCCAUCGUGAUUUCUUUGGGUCCCCGGCAACUGCGUGAUGGAAGGUUCUUGUUUGUUGUCCUGCGUGAAGAAUUAGGUUAAUGAUUCUAUUAUUUGUGACAUUUUUUUUAUUCACCAAAAGUUAAUUUAGAUGAAGUACAAGUAGUAAAAAAGUUACAAGUGCAUGUAAUCUACAAUACUAAAGUCUAGCAGUAAAAAUAAGUUAAGCUUUCCGAGGGUCUUUCUUCCCAGAUAUUAUAAGUGAAGAAGAUUUUUGUUAUGAUUUUGACACGGUUUUUAUGAAGAUAUUAAGAUCAAAAAAGAAGAAAAUGGAAGAAAAUUUUGAAGACAAUGAAGAUCAAGCUUCAACGCAAAACAGUUUAUAAAUCUUCAAUAUGUAUUGUUAUCCUUAUACUUUAUGUAUAGUUUAGUAGCAAUGCUCAAGAAAUGAGAAAACAAUUUUGAAAAUAAAUUGGAAAACUUUUAGUCAAUUUUAAACAAUUUUCAAAAUGUUAAGUAAUGAAUUACUUAACCUGAGUGAUAAGUUACUAGACUUAGGUAACAGAUUACUUGGACAGUGUAAUAGUGAGUAACAUCUAAGAUUGCAUAACACGUUACCUGACUGAAAUGGGUUACACAUCAAAAAUCAACUCAAUGGAACCGGUUACUAUAAGCAAUAAUCGAUUACUCAAUUGAACAUAAUGUUUGGGUAAUCGAUUACAGUUUCAAUCACUAUGCCAAAUAUCGCAAUUAACGACGGUCAUUUAACCUCACUUGCUAGAACAAUGCUGUUAAAAACGAGGCAGAAUAUAAUCAACAAGCUCAUUAAAUGACCGUUGUUGAUAGGAUGUGACAUUUAAGCAUCAAAAGUGCUUACAGGAGCAUUGUUGAAGAUAUAUUCUUGAGUGAGCGCUAUUGAAAAUGUCAUAUCAACAAUGCUCUCUUGAGUGAGCGCUAUUGAAUAUGACAUAUCAACAAUGUUUUCUUAAAUGUGCACUGUUGAUUAGAUACGACGUUUAAGUAUCAUAAAAAUUAAUUGUGGAGUACUUGACCUAAACGACAUUAUCUCAUUUAUGUGUCUCUUCGUUCGCCGAAGUUCUUUUGCUAUCAUUACACAAAUACAUGUUUAUGCAUAUUCUUUGUUUGGUUGCUUCGUGAUGUGGAUUGCACAUCUGCCAAGGACGAUGGUAGUCGUUCUCUUUCCAUUUUCAUCUAUAUAUGUUGUGGUUCUGCCAAGUCGUGUAAGACAUUUGUUAUUUUCUUCUCAACCAAGUACGGUAAUAGGUUCAACUGUUUCUUUGUAUCUGUUAUAUUCAGUGAUUUGUAUUUGUAUUUGUAUUUGUGUUUGUCUAAUAUGUCUUCAUUGUCUCCUUUUAUAAUUAGUCAUAGCACGCAGAGUGAAUUUCAUCAAAGAUAUAAAUGCCUCUAGGGAUACCUAAAAGCUGAAAAUAAGAAUUGCAAGUCUUUGACGGAUUGGAAUAUAUGCAGCUCCUUCACUUGUAAUGAUUUUGAUUGAUCGAAAGGUACUUUAAUUUUUAGGGUUCCUUUUUUAAUUCCUUAUUUAUUCCUUUUUUGGAUCAUAAUAUGUUUAUGUACCAGGAGGAUAAAAUUGAGGUUGUUGUAAAGGAUUUUCAUAUUUCACAAUGGGACUCUCAACUUAAAGAGAGUUUUAGUUAUAUUGUUGAAAACUUUGAUGUUGUUCUCAAUGAUGGACAAUAUCGAUGUUGUAACCAUCCUUACAAACUAAUAUUUGAAGAAGGAACAAUAUUGAUACAUAGAGAGCUUUGUAACAUUCCAAAUUACAUUUAUCAUUUUACUAAAUUUGAAGAUAUCUUGAUGGAAAUUGUGCUUACAGACUUUCUCAUAGGUAAUUUUACUACAUUUGAAGAUACAUUCAUUCAAUUUAUAACCAGAUAUCUGCAUGUAAUUAAUUUAUUUGUCUUACUAGAAAUCAUUGGCGAGUUUGUUGACAUUGAGAUGACUCAAAUAGAUUCUACCCGUAAGAAGGUGGUUUUCACCAUUAGGGACUUUGAGGUUAGCUUUUGCACAACCAAAUUUUUCCAUUCAAAAUUUGUAGUCUGCUUUGAUUUUUCUUAAACUCUUGUAGGGGUAACAACCUAAAGUGCACUCUUGGGGGACAAUUUGCAACACAUUUAUGACAUACAUAGAAAAUCACAAAGUUUAUCAUAUUGUGUGGUUUUGACCCUUGCAAAGAUGAGGGAAGUGGAAGGUAUGUGUCUAAAUAUUUUUUUAUUCAAAUUUUUUAAUGAAAAAGUUUGUUUGAAACAAAUUAUUAAUCUGACUUGCAAAUUGUAGUGGGAGGUUAUCAUGUGUCCAUACAAAGUAUAUUGUGUGGUUCUAAAAUUUAUAUCAAUGACUCCAAUAUACCAGAUAUUGAAAUAUUUUUGUGGAGGUGAUUCAUUUUUUUUGUUUCAUUAUUCAUUCAUUUUUCAUUUCUCGAAUUAAGAGUAACAAGUCGUUUUUCAUUUAUAGCUUGGACACCACCAAAAGUUAUGAAUCUUACAGUGAAUGUGUUAGUUCGUCUUCUUCAUGUUCUCAGGUAAAAUAUCUAUUCAUACUUUUUACUCUUCAUGUUUUCUGCAUAUAUUUAAAGAAGAUUAUGUUAAUUUCUACGUUUUUUUGUUGGGCAUUAAACCAAUUGAGAAAGGGAAGUCAGUAGGUUAUAUUCCUAAAAAAGAAUGUGUUUGUCACUUUUGUCAUACUACGUGCAAUUUUCAAUCUCUUUGUUUAAUUUCUUACUAGAUUUGAAUGUUUAAUCUUUAUAUUUUCAAUCUUCAAUCUAAUUUUUUAUUUUAGUUUUUUAAGAAAUUCUUAAUGACAAUAGGGGAUGAUGACCCGGACUAUGUGGAAUAUCUUUAUUCCACUUAGAUGGCUUCUUCGACUGAGGGACACUUUGAAGAAUGAACAAUUAUUGACGUUAAUUUCUUUUUUGAUGUUUGUCUUUUGGAUGGUUGUGCAAACUCCAUAAACAUUGUUAAUUUUUAGUUCUAUUUUGAUCACUGAACAUUGUAAUGAUAAUCUUGAAAUUUUUGCUUUUGUUCUACAAUAUAGCUCAUCAAAUAUUCCUCGUGUUAUAUUAAUGUGUGUUUGUGCUGUUUAGAAUAUAUGUCUGUUGUUGAUAAUUGAAUAUGCAGGUAAUCAACAACGCAUGCUCUAUGGCAAGCUUUGUUGAAUUAAUCAUAUACAACAACGUCCAUUUAGAUGACGUUGUUGUAUAUAAUUAAUACAACAACUCUAAUGUAUAAUAACGCUCGUUGGGUGAAGUGGUGUUGUAUGUAUGACAUACAACAAUGCCCACAUAUGUGUUGUUAAAGCAUGCCGAUAUUCUACUGCACUCAUAUAGAUAGCGUAUGAAAGCAUUGUUAUAUACCUAACAUGCGCGUUGUUGAACUGAAAAACUGGCAUAGUGAAUAACCGAUUAGAGAGAGUUGUUAAAUCAGAUUUUCAAAUCUAAACUCAACAACUUUCAUCCACAUUGAAUGGGUUUCAUUCCAAUCGUGUCUCACCUUCGUGUAAGGGUAUAUUGGUUGGUUAGAAGCCUAUUUAAAGGCCAAAGAACAUCCACUUCAUGACACACUUUAAUCAUCCAAACUUUCACAUCAUUCACAUACAAUAGUCUACAUUUUCUUAUGCAACUUUUGUUCUAAACUUUCAGAAUUUUUCUGAAGUUGCAUUGAUUGCUUGUUCUAAAGUUUGCUAAACUUAAACACAUAUUGAGCAUUGCAUACUAAAUGUAUAAAGAGAAAAAAGAUUGCAAGUUAUAACAAUUUUAUAUCUUGUAUGGCAAUCCUUGCCCUAGAAAGUUUUCUUCAUAUCUUAUUAUAAAAUUUUCAUCACAAGGGUGUGGUGAGAAGGGAGAUGGAGUACUUGGAUAGGUUGUUUUCCAAUGGUGUGAGGUAUUAGUGAAUGUGUGAUGUACAAGGACUCUUGGUGACAUAAAUUGUAAUUGCAACUCAUAAUAUUAAGUAAACAAAUCUCUUGUGAUACAAGAGUAUUGGACGUAGCCUUCAGUAGACAAGAAGGUGAACCUGUAUAAAACAUGUGUGUACUUUCUCUCUUCUCUUUACUGUGUUACUUUUACUGUUUUUACUUGGUGAUUUUUCUGUAUUUAUUCUGCUGCAAUAAACUCUUAUUUUCAUAGCAGAAAUAUUGGUCAUAUAAAUUAGUCAACUAAUUCACCCAUUUUUAGUUGUCAUUUAAUAGUUAUAAUUGACACUAGAGCUUGAUUUGGGUAAGUUACUCCCAAAGAUUCUAAUCUUUUAGAUGACCUCUAGGUCUUUUUGGGAGACAUGAGAAAGGAAAAAGGGUUUGGGAAAUACAUUUUUUUAGCCUUAUAUCUUUUUCUAGAAAACCCAAAGCCAGACCAAGAUACAAGUUUAAAAGACUUUGUUGGGGAUUUGGUUUUCUCAAGGUACGUACUAGGGAAAAAAACCUUGACUCUAUUAAAUCAUAUCAAAUUUUGAUAAAAAAAUAUAUAUCUUCUUUGAUCAAUUUUUCUGCUAUGAAAUCAAAGUGUUUAUGCAGCAGAAAUAUUGUAGAAAGAUUACCAAUUGAUACCUUCAAAAUAAAGAGAUAGAUUAGAGAGAAAAAAAAAGAACACAAUGUAUUUUUAUAUUGGUUCACCUUCUUGUCCACUGAAGGCUACGUCCAAUACUCUUACAGAACAAGAGAUUUAUUUACAAGAUAUUUUGAGUUGUAAUUACAAUCUCUCUCUCUGAUACUCUUUGUACCUUACACACUCACAAAUACCUCACACACUUGGAAAAUAACAUUUCCAAGUACUCUAUUUCCCUUUCUCACCACACUCUUGUGAUGACAAGUUUACAAUGGGUUUGAAGAAUGAAUUCUAUGACAGGAUUGCCUUUACAAGAUAUAACAAUUAAUAACUUGUUAUCCUUAGACUGAAUAAGAUUAAUACAAUGCUCUUGAAAGGAUUAAGUAUGUAAACUUUAGCACAUUGCACUUGAAGCAACUUAAUAAAAAAUCUAAAAGUUUAGAAUAAAAUUUGCAAGAAAAAGUGCAGAGAAUUAUAUAUGAAAUUGUGUGUAAUUCAUAUGUAAUGAUUGUGUUUCAAAAUGGGACUCUUAAUGCCUUUAAAUAGGAUUCCAAUAAGCCAAUAUACCCUUCCAUGAAAUUGGGACGGGAUUGGAAUGAAACGUGUUGAGUUUGAAUGAAAGUUGUUCAGUUUGGAUUUGAAAAUCUAGUUGAAACAACAUUGUGUAAUCGAUUACAUCAUGAUGUAAUUUAUUACUUAAAUAUUCUGCCCAAAGAUAUAAGCGAUUAAUCAUUAAUUUAAUUGGUAACUCUCUAUCAGUUAUUGUUGGAUAACUCUUUACUUAGUUAGGUAACUUGUUACCAAUUGUCACACAAUUCAAGUAAUCUAUUACCAAGGUCUAGUAACCUGUUACUCAGGUCAAGUAACCCGUUACUUAGCUUUUUGAAAAUUGUUUAACUUUUUCUAAGAAUUUUCAAUUCUUUUCAAAAUAGUUUUUCACUUCUUUUGAGCAUUACUUACUAAUUAUAUUGAAGUGUAAAAGAUAGAAGUACUUAUUGAAGACUUAGACUCUAAUUGAAGCUUGAUCUUCAUGUAUCUUCAAUAUCUUCUUUGUUUUUCUUCUUUUGGUGUGAUCUUGAUGUCUUCAUCAAAAUUGUGUCAAGGUCAAGAGCAAGAUCUUCUUCACAAUUCUUGUGUGCUCGCUUUUAGUAGUCACAAGUUCUGGUACUACCCCUACGUACAAAUUGAGUUUCAACAAUAUCCAUGUAUUCUUAUUUUUAAUUUGAUUGUCUCGAGGUCCGAUAGUAUAAAUGUGUUCUUUUUCUAAAUGUUGCAUUACGAUUAUUAUCUUCAUUUUCUUCUUUUUUACAAAAUUGGUGUUCAUUUUUUUAGUGCUUACUUACUAUGGUAGCAUACAAACCUCAGUAUGUUCGCUAUCUAGUGAGUAACAAUUAAAGAGGGACAACUCUAAAUACCCAAUUUUGUUUGAACCAUUUUCACAAAAGUGAAAAAAUUACAAAAUAUAAAAGUUACAAUUUAAAAUACCAAAAAAGGAUAUUCUAAUUAUUUUUAUGCUUUUAUAGAGUCAACUAAUUAUUUUUAUUUAUUUAUGUUUAUUAUGGUAAUUUUUAGGAUUUUAUAAAGUCAUAAACGACUUUUGUUCAAAAACGAUACUCUUAUAAUUUUUAAAGCUAAAAUGAAAUAUUUUUAACCCAACUANNNNNNNNNNNNNNNNNNNNNNNNNNNNNNNNNNNNNNNNNNNNNNNNNNNNNNNNNNNNNNNNNNNNNNNNNNNNNNNNNNNNNNNNNNNNNNNNNNNNAAAUAAUAAAUUUAAUUUUCUUGUAUAAAAUAUUUUUCAUAAAAAUAGCUCAUUAAAAUAAUUAACUAAAUCCAAACAAUUAUAAUAUAAAAUAAUUAAAAAUGAUGUUUUAUCAUUAUAAUUAAUUUAUGGAAUUUGAAUCGCAUACAUCAUGGCCCGUGUCAUGGCAUGCGUCGUAUCCUACUUUCUACUUCAAGCGAAAAGUCAGUCUACGACUAGUAUUGUCGCUUUGCUAUUGAUUUCAUUUAUUAAAAAUGUGUUAUCACCUAAUUAACGGAAGAUGAAUAGUUUGGUCGUCGCACGUGUCAUCUCUUUCUUUCUGCCUCAAGAGGAAAGUCUGCCCACGAAUAAUGUCGUCUCUUUGCUAUUGAUUCCAUUUAUUAAAAAAAAUGAAUUAAAAAUGAUUUAUCACAUAAUUAAUGGAAUUUGAAUAGCAUAGUCAUGACCCAUAUUCUCUCUUCUUAGCUACUUAAAGUAGAUAGUUAGUCUAGGAAUAAUGUCAUCUCUUCGAUAUUGAUUUCAUUAAUUCAAAAAUAACUAUAAUAAAAAAUAUUUUACCAAAUGAAAAUAAUAUAACUUUUAUAGUUCAAUUAUAGUUCACGUCGUCUCAAACUUCUCUGAAAAUGAGGAGAAUGUCUAUGACCAAUACAAUCUCUUCCUUAUUAAUUGCAUUUAAUAUUAAUAACCCAUAUUUUUAAGUAAUUAUUUAUUUUAAAAUUAAAAAAAAUGUAAUUGAGCUUUUAUAGUUCAGUUUUUGUUCAUGUCAGCUCUAACUUCUCUUGAAAUGGGAAGAAGGUGUAGGACCAAUAUUAUCUUUUCGCUAUUAGUUUCAUGAAAAUGAAAUAAUUAUAUCUUAUAAUUAUUUUGAAAGUAAAUCUUAGAAAUCAAAUCAAAUCAAGUGAAAAAAUAUUUUUUAACCUAAAACUAUGUAGGUUUAAUUUUUUUAUUAUACCUAGGGAUAUGUAGGAGCAUGAUAAACUUUUGUCGUACACAAAAGUAAAAAAUAAUAUAUUUCGCUUUAGCAUUUGAAUUUUGAACAAAAUAUAUUAAGGGUAUGAAAAUUCAUGCAGUUAGUAAGAGUAACAUUUUAUUACAAGGAGACUAAGUACUAAUAUUUUCCUCAAUUCAUAAUCGAUUCUCCACCUCAAAACUCAAGUUCAAAUACCAUUUUUUUCAAUUUGAGCUUAACAUUGAGUUUUCUACAUUUUAACCUUAAAAAUCGUUGUGGCAACUCCAAAUCUUUUGGGAGAGGUAAAAAUUGAGUUCACCUCUUCAAAAGUCACAGAAUCAUUUUCCAAUCGAAAAUCGAGUCACGAUAAUAUUUAUUUCUGUGAGUGACACAUGCAAUUUGAGAUUAUGAGAUUGAAAGAAAAUACUACAUACUGGAAAAGAAGAAGCGAUAUUCUAAGGAAUAUCAUAGAUUAAACAAUAAAUUAUAAGUUGUGAGCAAUAUAUAGUUAUAUGAUAACAAAAAAAUGAAUGGAGGCAACACUACAAGAAAAUUCAGUAUAGGGGAGGGUUUACUGUUAUUGGUAGAGGUUUUCAAACUCUAUAGUAAUGUCUUUGGAGGUUUGAAGAACCAUCACAUUUAUGGUCGCCACAAAUGUUUAGCAGAGGUUUUUAGGGACCUUUAUUAUUGUGCAAGUUUGCAGCGGUUUUGUUGGGAAGGUUUUUAACCUACUCUGGAUGUAUUUUUUUUUUGUAGAGGUCAACUAUUUCAAUUAAUAAACAAUAUUGGUAGAAAUUGUCACUGUUCUACUAACCUCCCAUAAUUUUCACUAAUGAUGGAUCUAUUAUAUUAUUGUAUUGAGUAGAAGAUAUUAAUCUUAAUUUAAAUUCAUAACUUUAGGGCUAUUAAAAAUAAAAUUAUAAAUGCAAAUAGUAGACCAAAUUAAAAUUUUAUUGAAAAUAAUAAAGUUGAUAUAACAUAGAGAAUUGUUAUGUGGUCCAAAACCUACAUUCUUAUAAAUUCCAAUACAACUUAAUUAAAAUCCCAAAAUAAAAGUAAGAGUAAUUUGAUAUAAAAUCNNNNNNNNNNNNNNNNNNNNNNNNNNNNNNNNNNNNNNNNNNNNNNNNNNNNNNNNNNNNNNNNNNNNNNNNNNNNNNNNNNNNNNNNNNNNNNNNNNNNACAUGAAAAUUAUCCUAAAUAAAUACAAACCUCCCUUGUUCAUUUGACUAAUUAGUUGGCUCGCCUAAUUUUAUUUAUGUCGUGAGAUUUAGAAAACACCAUAAAUAAACCUCCACUAAUUACAAUAUUUCUUGUAGUGCAAGGUGAGAGUUAAGGUUAGUUAAAGAGAUAUAUAUAACAAAAGAGAGAAAAAUGUAUGAAGUGAUAGUGUAUGAGUUUUAUAUACUUCACUGUAUCAUUCACUAUCGAUAUUUAAUCAUUGUUGACUUUUCAAAAAACGUAAUCCAAAUGAACGAUGAAUGAUGUAAUAUCUGUGUAUAAAUCUUUACAUUGACAAUAUAUAGAUUUUACACUCAUAAUAAAAAUAUAAUAAAUAAUUAAAAGAGCCAUGGGUUGUUAAAUUUAUAUAUAUAUAUAUAUAUAUAUAAUAUAAUUUUAUACUAACAAUAUAUAUAAUAAUGAUAAAUAUCUGUCCAUAGAGCUAAAAGGAUAAGUAGAUAAAGAAUCAAAAGGAUAAAAAAUAAGGUAAUAUGAUUAACAUUUUUUAUGAUAAAGGUUAUGAUAAACAUAAUUACUUCAGUAAUAAAAUCAAAUGAACAUAAUGUUACAACUUGUGCCAAUUACAAAAAAAAUAAAAACUAAAACCCUUCAACCAAGAGAUGACAAGAUUUUAUACUAUUAAGUUAUAUAUUGCAAAAAUCAUUCCUUGAGGGUGUUCAGAAAAAAAUUAAAAAUAAACUAUAAGCAAAAAAAUAUGUUAGGUUGUAAACCUGUAACGAAACAUAGGAAAAGGAGAGAGAUAUUAAGUUGAAAGCCUUUCAAGGCAAUUUAGGAUCAUAAUAAUUUAUGGCAGGUACUUGCAUUAGUUAUUUUGCACAAAUACUUUGAGUAAAAUAACAAACUCCAUUCAGACUUACUACUCGCCACCCUAAAUUCACAAAUUGGAAAUGCUUUGUGGAGAAUCUUAGCUAAAGCCAUUGAAGGAAAGAUGAAAGUUUAGAAUACGCACAUUAGGAAUAAUGGGUUAUCGGCAUAAUUGAAAGUAGUUCAAACAGAAAAUUAAGAUUUUUUGUCUCAUCAAAAGAAAUUCCCAACCAACCCACAUUGGGGCAAUAUAUAAUAGUUCAUAAUUUGAAAAUAAGCAAACUAAAUAAAAUAAAUUAUACAACAAUUUGAUUGGUUAGCAUAAUUAAAAUGAAAUAAUAAUUGAAAUCAAAAUAAAUUAAUGGUGGCAAAUAAUUGGUAAAUCCAUGAUCACUAUCCAUUUUUUGUUUUGCUAAAUAAAAAAAGAAGAAGACAUUUAAGAUAUGUUUAGUGGGCAAUUAAUGGUACAUUAAUAAGGAGAAUCACUAUUUUUUUAACACGUGUCAUUUUCCAAUAUAAAGAGUUUGGAAAACCACAUACAAAAGACAUUAAGAAAAAGCAAAAGAGAAAUAAGAGACACAAAUCUCCCUAAAUUUGUGCUUGUUUAUCCCUAUUUGUGUCACUGAGCCACAACUGAAAAUGCAAUAGAUUGUAGCCACACAAAGACACAUUCCACUAUAGGACUCCCUAGUUACCAUGACCCCCUACCCCAAGACGUAGACUUCUCAUAGGAGAUAUCCACCCCCUGUAAAGAACAAAGAACAUCAACACAAUCGCGAAGUCAUGUUGUUAGAUAUCGUUCUGAUCUCUAUAGCAUACAUAGCCUACUUGACAUAUACAUAAUAUUUAAGGGUUUUGGAGUAGGGGCACCUCUAGAUCAACUCAGAAGAGAUAUCUUCGAGAGGGAAUGUAGGUCACAACCAUAAAUUACAUUUGCCCUACUCAUUCAAGCAGCCAUGCCACACCCAUUUCCUCUAACGAUGGAUAUUAUAAUAAUGUAUUUCGAUAGCACAAUGAUCCUAAUAGCAAGAGCUGAUCAAUUGCUUGCCAGCAAAAAAAGACCUCUUCACAUGAGUGGCGGCUAACAUGCUACUACUAAUUAGCCCAAAAUUUAUGUGUAUUUGUCAUACAGCUUCCCUAUGUGCAAAGCUAGUCUCAUAAAAGAAGCAUAAAAUGGGUGUCGAAAGAACAGAGGUUGUGAAACAAAAAGUACUGGAGAUUCAAGAAUUUGGCUUCAUUAGAGAAAUAGCAUACACCACAUGGUUGGCAAAUGUGAUGUUGGUCAAAAAUCUCUAUGGGAAAUGGAGGAUAUUAUUAAAAGGUAAAAAUAUCUAUGGGAAAUGGAGGAUAUUUUUAUUGGCAAAAGGUAAAAAUAUUAUUAAAAGAGAAAAUAGUUCAGAAGUUUGGAAAGAAAAAGAGAAGAGGGAGGCUAGAAGCCAUUUUAAAUUGAUGCUAAGACAAUCUAGUGAAGAAACCUAAUCAGAAUAAUUGAAUGAAUCUUUUCUAAGCUUGCCAUUGAUCUAAAGCCAAGAUUCAAUCCUUGUAGAAUUAAGAAUUUGUUGUAAGGAAGGUUAAAUAGAGUUGAAAAUGAAGUCAUUCCUAGAGAAUCAAAUGGACCAAAUAGUAGCAAAAUAGAUAACACUCCAAAGUUUAGACUGUUACUUAUGAGAGAGCAUGCCCAUAUGAUUGUUGAAAUGUUGAACAGGAUGAAGUGGGAAUGUGGAGCUAAUGUUCAACCAAUUAUAGAGGUGCUUCAAAAUGGACCAAUUAUUCUAGAUGUAUAACAACGCUUUCAUGCCCUUUCUGUUUGACCGCAGUAAUAUAUGUUAUCAUUAACAGUGCUCCACAGACGCUCUUGCAUUGAUUAUAUACCAUAGAGAAACACACAAAAAACCUAUCAUAUAGUAUAUCAAUACAACAGCGCAUAGUCCACAAGCGCAGUCAUAUAGGUCUUACAUAAACAGCGUAUUUUAUAGGUCUUAUUAACCGCGCUUAUUGUUGUGUUGUUGAAGUUCAUAUAUUUAACAACGCAAUAAAAAAAGUNNNNNNNNNNNNNNNNNNNNNNNNNNNNNNNNNNNNNNNNNNNNNNNNNNNNNNNNNNNNNNNNNNNNNNNNNNNNNNNNNNNNNNNNNNNNNNNNNNNNUUGUUGUAUUAUUCAUAAAUUUUCUCAAACAACACCUAAUACAACAACGCAUCACACACAUAACGCUGUUGUAUUAAUAAUGUACAACAUCGCUUUCUAUAAAAAGCGUUGUUAUAGUUAUCCUUUACAACAACGCAUGUCAAGGCUUCCCCUAGAAUUCGCUGUUGAUUUGUAUAAAUUAAUACAUGCAUAUACAUUUGUAUAAAAUGAGUGAAUGAUUUUUAGUGUUGAAUGAGUGAAUGAUUUUGAGGUUGAAUGAUUUUCAAAGUCGAUUUUGNNNNNNNNNNNNNNNNNNNNNNNNNNNNNNNNNNNNNNNNNNNNNNNNNNNNNNNNNNNNNNNNNNNNNNNNNNNNNNNNNNNNNNNNNNNNNNNNNNNNUGGCUGACUUCGUCAUCUAUAUAUGAUUUGCCAUCCAUCUUGAUUGUAUUAGUUGGCCAUUGAUGAAUGAUCUCUUUCAUGAAUUUCAGCACGUAAUAGCCGCAAUCUACCUGGUUUGUUUGGCAAGGGGUCUACAAUUAAAAUGAAGUAAACAUAUAAGUAUAACUUUAGUUGGCCAUUACACAUAUAACUGUUUGAGAUGAUUUGUGACAAUACCUUUAUACGAGUCCACCUGAUUUUAAGAUUUGGUAUCUUGUUUGUAGCAUGAUUACAACUUCUGUAAACUCUCACCCUNNNNNNNNNNNNNNNNNNNNNNNNNNNNNNNNNNNNNNNNNNNNNNNNNNNNNNNNNNNNNNNNNNNNNNNNNNNNNNNNNNNNNNNNNNNNNNNNNNNNGGUAUAUACAAGUAUGGUACUACUUGGCAAUGCCAAGAGGACUACACUACUUUUGAUCUGGGUUUGUCCGACGAUGAUAAUCAGGGUGGCAUGUGAUGCGAACCUCCAGGGGAUGGUUUGCUUUCUUUGUCGAUCGUUCUUGCCUGAAACUUAAUUGGACUCGCGGAAUAGAAUUGUCAUCAAUGUCAACGUUUUUGUGUAUGAAAAUGGGAUGAAAUGUAUAUGGAAUAAGUGUAUUGUAUAUAGGCACGAUUUUGUAUAUAUAUUUUUGUAUNNNNNNNNNNNNNNNNNNNNNNNNNNNNNNNNNNNNNNNNNNNNNNNNNNNNNNNNNNNNNNNNNNNNNNNNNNNNNNNNNNNNNNNNNNNNNNNNNNNNCAACUACCUUAUUGAUUCAAAUAAAAAACGUGUGGAGCACUUUGAUGAGGAUUAAUGCUUAUGAAAUUCUUUCCAUAUGGGGCUAUUCUUGGUUGGCUACUUUCCUUUUGUUUCUUCCUCAAAGAAAACGUGUACCAAGCCUUCUUAAUAGGAGAAUUCGGUUGCUUGGGUGUUGUAGUUGCCUUGGCCGAAUUCCCACAUGUGUAAAUCUCAAUUUGGUAAGUUUUUAUAGCUUGCCAUUAUCUUCAUGAUUUGGAGAAGAUUUGAAUUCUGAUUGCNNNNNNNNNNNNNNNNNNNNNNNNNNNNNNNNNNNNNNNNNNNNNNNNNNNNNNNNNNNNNNNNNNNNNNNNNNNNNNNNNNNNNNNNNNNNNNNNNNNNAAUAAUUAAAAUAAAUCCUAAGACUACCCAUGAGAAUAAAAUCUCAAUUUAUUGAAAAUAAUAACUAAAACUAUUAUAAUUUCCUUCCAAGAAUGUGGUCUCCAAGUGGCUUUCUUACUUGUAAGAUUGUCCUCCAUAAUCAUAGGUUUCCCCCCUUGGUUUAUAUCAUACCCUCCUUCUGAAAAGGAAUUUGUCCUCAAAUUUGAGGUACCAUCACCUCCUUGAUCAAAGACAAACCUCUUCAUUUGUGCACGAAAUUUCUUAGACACGUUCAUUUUUGUGCACCUACUUAAUAAAUAAAUUAGUUAGCCCAAUGAAAAGAAUCAUCUUCAUCUCUUGGGUCAAAAACCAACCUCGUCAAUUGUCUAGGACACCUCCUAACAUAUUCAUCGUGGGUUUUACCCCUAAUGAAUAAUUCAGCAACAACAUGACAAGCUUUAAUGACUUCCUUGAUUGGUAAAGAAUGAUUUUUAGAAAAUCCAUUUUUCAUCAUAAAAGUGGAAUCUUCAUCAUGAAAUUUUGUCUUUAACACCUCAAUAUCACCCACAGAAAUAUCUCCAUUAGAAUCAAUGUAAAAUCCAAUCUCUCUUAAAAGUGAAGGAUCAGGUGGUUCCUCCUUGAAAAAAAUUCACUAAUUUCCUGAAAAAAUUGCUUAACAAAGAUGGAUAAUGAACUUCCAUUAGAGAGGUUGGUAAAUAAAAAUUUCCUACAAUGAGGUAGGUUCAAGACUUGUUUUGAAAACAAAACAUUAUCAAGCGUACUUUUUUUUGUAAAAUAAAUUUCUUUGCUUUCUCCAUCACCCUCAUGAAAUUUUCUCUCAUCCUCAAUAAUAAUUUUGUUUGAAUUUGUUUCCCCAAUCUUUCCAUCACUCUCAUUUUCACACUUUUUUUCCAAUCUUAUUUUUUCUUCGUUUUCUAGCUCACUUUUAUUCUCACACUCUUGUUUUUCGUACAUCCUUUCCUUUCUCUCUUCCUCCAACUUUUCUCUCAACCUUUGUUGAUCUUCAUUUACUUGCUUAGGAGAUAACGGAGACAACACCACCUUUCGGUUUUUGUGUAAAAAUGUGAACUUGUUUGAAAAACAAUCAUGCAUGGCUCUUUUAUCAAAUUGCCAUGGACGACCUAAAAUUAUAUGGCUAGCCUCCAUAUGAGCCACAUCACAAAGAACCACAUCUUCAUACUUCCCUGUAGAAAAGGAAACUUCAACUUGUUCAUUAACAAUUAUUUCCCCAACCUCGCUUAACCAUUGAAGCCGGUAAGGAGUGGGAUGUGGUCUAGUCACGAGAUUUAGCAUUGAGACUAAUCUUGGACUAACCAUGUUGGCACAGCUACCACUAUUAAUUAUAAACAAGCAUACCCUACCUUGGACCAAACAUCUAGAAUGAAAGAUGUUUUCCUUUUGGUUGACCUCAUCUUCCAUAACUUGAUUUUCCGAAAGUUUCCUCACCAAGAAAGAUUUACAAUGUGACAUGACUCAGACCUUUCAAGCAAGAAGUGGCUCUGAUACCACUUGAUGCGAACCUCCAGGGGGUGGUUUGCUUUCGUUGUCGAUCGUUCUUGCCUGAAACUUAAUUGGACUCGCAGAAUAGAAUUUUCAUCAAUGUCAACAUUUUUGAGUAUGAAAAUGGGAUGAAAUGUAUACAGAAUAAGUGUAUUGUAUAUAGGCACGAAAUUUGUCCUUUACCUUUUUUUUUAAAAAAAGAAAUCGUGGAUAGCCACAAUUUCCAUUUGUAUUACAUAAUUGUGGACAACAACCACCAUUUCCAUUUUUGCUUUUUUUAAUUUGUAAUUUUGUUGCUAUAUAUAAAAAUUUCCCUAAUACAAAUAUUUUAAAAAUGAAAUAUUUAUUCAAAUAACACUUAUAAUACACUAUCAUAAUUUAUUAUAAUAUAUUAUAUAAUCCCCAACUAAUACUAUUGACGUUUAUAUGAUGAAAGUGAUUUUCUCUUCCAUGGUGAUAGAACUCUUAUUUAUUAUUCACGUCGUUGUGGGAUUUCUCUUGUUCUUAUUCUACCACUUCUUGUAAAUUAUGGUUCCUCCUCCUCUUUCUCAUAUGCUCAUGACUAAAUUAGUAACAAAUUAAUCAAUCUUUUUUGUUGUUAUUUGUUGAUGAGCCAAAAUAAUUGAUUCUCAACUAUAUUGAAAUGUCUCAUAAAUCUUUGUAUCAUUCUCGUAAUAAAUGCUCUAGAGUAUGUUCUAUGGCCACCUAAGUUGAAUCCUUUACACAAAUCUUCUUAUGUUAGUUAGAAUAUGAUCCAAAAAAUUGACACAAUCCUUCUCCCACACCAUACUAGUCACUCUAGUUACAACUUGUCCAUCUAUAGGUAUUCCAAGUUGAACAUCAACAUCUUCAAGAAUGAUGGUACACUCUCUAUUAGAGAAAUGGAAAGUGUUUGUCUCUCGCCACUAUAUCCCAACCAUUUCAAUUAUAAGACAAUUGUUGAUAUCUACUAUUGCAAUGUCAAUGUCCAAGACAUUGGAGAAAGCAAUGUUGUGAAUAAAUUACAACGAUAGUUUAUAUUUCAUAUGAUAAUUUUUUCUAAAAGUUAUAUAGAAUCGAAAUGUAACUUCCUCAUUUCGUUUAUUCUUUGAUAUAUGUUUAGGUUGAAGUCUGAGUAAAAAUGUCUCAAUGGGCUUAAACAAAUGUGUUACAUGUUAUAAAAAUUAAAAAACUUAAGUCAAAAUAGUAUAAUUACCUUAUGUAUAACGAAAAACAAAUUAGUGAGUAUUGAAGGAAGAAAGAGCAAAUAGAUAUAAUUAUUCACGGUUUGAAUGAACUGUGUUUAGAUAAAAUACUUCCUUUGCGAAGGAGUAUAAAUCGAGAGGAAGGGAGGGUUGUCGAUAUCAUCAAUGUAAACUGAAAUUGCGGUAGAGAUAUAAUUAAGGUAAUACUAAAAUCAUGACUAUUAAUCACGAUUUAGUAGGUACUAAAAUAGUGGUUGAGAUCCACGAUUUAAUUAUGAAAUUUUAAAACAAAUAAAGAAAUUAAAAAAGGAAUCAUGGCUUCAAUCUAUACUUAUCUGAAGAAAAUUAACAGAAAAAAGUCUAAGGCAAGACUUUUACUGAAAUGGUUGCUUACAAGCAAUCGAGGAAAAAGCUGAAAAAGUUGCACUAAACACGUAAUAAUUUUUUUGAUUGUACCUUUCCACCAAAUUUUGCAAUAACAAAAUUUCUCUAAAAAAGUAAUGAAGGUAAUAUUACGUGUAUUGUGCUAUUUAUUACAACCAUAGGUGUAGGAAAUGUAUAGUUAUUUGAAAAUAUUAAUUGAACAAGAGUAGAUAUGAAGCCUUAUACUCAACUAAUAAAAAUAGCAUUCGGGCAUCAAGAUACUAGUCUUACAUUCUUCUAUUACUUAAACAAAUAUAUUCAGUAUAAAUCAAUUUAUUUUGGAGGAGAGUGUAUCUCUUGUUCUUUCUUCUUAUUCAAUAGUCUUGGACAUCUCCAAUGGAAUAACGUGAAUUACCAUUUCUUCAUUGCCAUAGGGAGAAAUUCAAACAGUCAAUUUUUUUUCUUAUUGAUAUUUAUUGAUCAUUGUCUAACUUCAUCAUCCGUGUCGGUUCUGGUGUAUUUUGUUUAUCCUAAAUUUAAAGUUUUUUGAAUUCAUUUCUUGUUCUUCACUUGAGUUCCUUUUUUAUUAGAUCCUUUUGUAAUUGACAUUUCUUACACACUUACCAUAUGGUGUAUUUUGACACUUUUUAUAAUGGCGUGCAUUAGAGAAUUGAAUAAUUUUUAUUUAUGUAUUUAUAUAAUAUCUUUUCCUACCAUAUUUUCCAAUAUGACUUCUGUUGCGUGAAUAAAAACAAACAUAAUUGAAAAUACAUAGAAUACGACUUAAUUGAAUCAAUCCUUAUUUAGAAAUGCUUAAAAUAAUUAAAGGGCUAACCUAUAUAAAAACAUGAGUAAAUUACACUGACACCCCAUGAGUUUCAGUGAAAUUAUAAAAAACCUCAUUUAUUUCUUAAACUUGCAUAAAUUACCCAUAAUUAUACACAUACAUUACAUUGAUUACUCAUACAGGACAAAUAAGAGUAAUUUCUUAGACAAAAAAUGGUGAAUAGUUUUUUUAAGGUAAGGUGCAACUACACCCAAAUAUAUUUAAAAGAUAAAACAAUUACAAAGAGAGCCAAGAGUUUACACAUUUUUUAAUCAACAGUUAGGUAGCCAUAGUCUAUUUCUAUUAAAUUCAACAAGAAUGAAAUUAGGGAUAAUAUUCCACCAACCAUAAGCUUGGGAAGAGAUACCAAAGGAGACUAACUUAUCUGCAUAAGUGUUCUCUUCCCUAUAUAAAUGAGACACUCUAAGGACUAUGCCACUUGUUGAGCAACUUCCAAGGAGCAGUGAGAUUACCAUUAAAGAUGUCUACGACUAUUGCUCAAUCUCAUUCCAACCAAAUAUAUGCUUCCAACCUUUUGCAUGAGCAAUUCCUAUAGCCAAAAUAGUAGACCUAAGUUUUGCAUACAGGGAUUCUUGGUUAUUGAAAUAGGAUACAACACAACCCAUAAAAGCUCCCCAACUAUCCCUAAAAAUGGCUCCCCCACUUGCGUGACUAGGAGUUCCAUGAGCAACACUAUCUGAGUUGAUCUUGAUCCACCCCAAUAGAGGAGGAUGCCACAGAACCUAAGUUACAAAAGGGGCAGCGUUAUAAUGAAUUGUAACAUUUAAGUUCCUGAGAGUGGUGAAAUCCCACUGAGAAGAGCUGGCACAAAGUUUGGAUGAGUUUCCCGACAUAGAUGUGGACAACUUGAUUCUAGAUUUAGCUUGGGCCAAGCUUGUCCAAAUAUCAUGAACACCCUUAAGUUGAGGACUCCACUUGUGAAUAUAGAUAGACAUCAUUGUUGCUCUAGAAGAAUUGUCUAGAUGAAUACCAAAAAUGCUACUAAUCCACUACCAAAGAUGAGCAUCAGAAGGACAUCCCAAGAACAAGUGAUUAGAAGUUUUAUUGUUGGACAUGCAUAGACUGCACAUAGUCACCAGGGUGCACCCCCUCUUUUGGAGAUUCUCAACUGUGGGCAUCUUCCAAUGAUAUAACCUCCAGGUAGUGAAGGAUUUCGAAGGACGGAUUGACUCAGACCAUAUUUUUUUACACCAACUCAUUUGAGUCUCUGGUUGCUUGAUGCAAGAAUAGACAACCUUUAGGGGAAUGGAACCAUCAGUAGUACCCUGCCAAACUAGAUGAUCCUACCUAGAGGAGAUGAAAGUCUCAGCUAUAUCCUUUGAUAUUUGAGGGAACAAAUCCACAAGAAGCUUAGGAAUUAUCCACUUAGAUUGGUGAGUGAAAUCAGUCACACUAGCUAAAAGAGAAGAGUGCAGAUCAACAGGGAUAUUAAGUGAAUCCACUAAAGGAGUACCAAGCCAAUUGUCCCUUCAAAAGUUAAUUUUCCUAUCAUCCCCAACCAACCAAAUUGAGUUAGAAAUUGUAGUUUGCCAUUUGCUUCUAAUGCUAUGCCAAAUAGAGGAAAUCAUUUCCCAAGCAAGAUUUAUCAAAAACACAUGAUUCAUGACUUUGAUGGUUCUCAAUCCUACACCUCCAGCUUUAGUUGGAGAGCAAACUGUGUGUCAGGCCACUAUUACAAUUUUCCUAAUAGUGGUUCACCAAACUACAUGAAGUUCCUUAUGCAUUUGUCUAAGAGCUUGAGAAAAUUGGAGGGUCAAGAGUAAAUAUGAAAGCUAUAAGCAAGCAUACUUUGGAUGAUAGACUUAACCAAUUCCGUUCUUCCCAUGAAAGAUAGCAGAGAGCCUUUCCAACUAGCUAGCUUGAGAAUGAUUCGGUCAACAAUUGCUUGAAGAUGCAUCUUCCUAAGUUUCCAUUUAAAUAGAAGAACACCCAAGUAAUUGAAGGGCAAUCUUCAAUAGAGAAGCCCAGAGUGGAGGUCAAGUUAGAUAUUUUCCUUCCUGAGGCACUCCCAAUGUAGAACUUACAUUUGCUAAAGCUGACAUGCUUAAACAAAAUAUGGUAUAUUGUGAAGACAAGUCCAAAUAGUAUAAAAAUCAAUGUCUAUUCAUUAUUUUCGUUAAUUAUAUUAUAAUGUAAGAGUGAUUUAAACAUCUCACUAGAAUUAUUGAUGUAGUUUAUAAUGAACGAAAAAUAAUAAAUACACAUUGACUAUUAUACUAUUUGGACUUGUCUUUACAAUAUAUCAUAUUUUGUUUAACUUAAUUAUACUCGUCACCAUUUUUUAUAUAAAAAUUACUCUUAUCUCUCCUAUAGAGGUAGUUAGUGUAAUAUAUGUAUAGAAUUAUGAGUGAUUUGUAUAAGUUUAAAAAGGAUGACUAGUUUAUAUAAGACUGAGAUUGCAAUUAAGAGGGGGUGAAUGAGUUGACUUAAAAUUAUGACCAUUUUUUCUGCAAAAUCAAGAGUUAAAGUGUGCGGAAAAUAUAUGCAGAAAUUAAACAAAUAAAUAAUCAAAGAGAUAAGGGAGAAGAGAAUACAUAAGGAUUUUUAUACUGAUUCACCUUCUUGUCCAUCGAAGGCUACGUCUAGUACUCUUGCAGCACAAGAGAUUUCAUCACUAAAGAUUAUGAGUUGCAAUUACAAUAUCUCACCUCAAGAUCUCUAUUUACCUUACACACUCCCUAAUCCUUAUUCACUCUUGUAAAAACACAUUUCCAAGUGAUUCUAAUCCCCUUUCUUAUGACACCCUUGUGAAAGAAAGUAUUAUGCAAUAGAAAUGAAGAAUGUACAAUAAUGGCAGAUUGCCUUUACAAGUUUGAAAGAAUAAUAACUUGCAAUUCAGUCAACUCUUUGUAUACUUAGUAAUAAUGUUCUUUAUAAGUUGGUAAACAUUGAAACACUGUACUUUAAGCAACUUCAAAAAAAUCAACUUUGAAAGCUUAAGAACUAGUUGCCAAAAGUGUAGAAAAAUAAUUUCAGAAUGUGUGUAAGAACUUUUAAAAUUUGUAUGAGAGUUGUGUGUUUGUAUUGUGAGAUUCAAUGCCUUUAAAUAGACUUUCCAAUCACCCAUAGUGCCUCUACGAAAAGGUAGGAAUAGAUUGGAGUGAAGACAUUUCAUUCGAGAUGAAAACCUUUCAUUUUGAAAUCUGAAAUAUGAUGCAACAACUCACAGUAAUCGAUUAAAAUCAGUGGGUAAUUGAUUACCCAAACAUUUUGUCCACUGGACAUUUAAAUUCGAUUUAGAGUAAUCGAUUACAGCAAGUGGGUAAUCAGUUACUCAACUUCAUUAAAACUAGUAAUAUGUUACUCAAAGACAGUAAUGGAGUACUCUGAUCAGUUUUAAGUUGGAUAACUCUUUUCUCACACACGUAACAUGUUACUUAGAUGCAUUAACUCGUUACACACUAUUUUUUAUUUAAAAUUGAGUAUAUUGAAGUGUUUCAAUUUUCUUUUAAAAAUAGUUUGAGCAUUACUACUAUUGUAUAUUCAAGAGUAUAGGAUAAAAGUACCUAUUUAGACUUAGACUAAUUUGUCUUGAAGUUUUGUCUUCUUUGCCUUCAUAAGUAUUCUUCCUUUUCUUCUUUUUGGUGAUGUUGAUGUCUUUAUCAAAACCGUGCCAAGGUCAGGAGCAAAGAUCUUCUUCACAGUUUACGUAAUUUCACUAAAACUCAGAGGAUGUGGUAUAAUUUACUCUAAAAACAUAGGCUAUUUGUCCUAAAAACACUCCGCCACUUUCUGUCUCCAUCCAAUAAAAUUAUACAAAGUGGUAUAAUUCUACUUUUAUAAUUUUCUAUUUAAUUGAAUGACACAUUUUAAUUGGGUUGUGACAUCAAUGAGGACACAAAUAGGGAUAUGAGAUCUCCAUUCUUUGGAUAACGUAGUUGAUGAGAAGUCGAAUAUAAAUGCACAUUCGAUUUCUGAAAGAUUGAACUGGUUUGCCAAUGGUCCAAGUAUUCAUGUCUUAUCCUACACUGGUUACCUAAUUAAUGGGUUCACAUUUUAUAAGAAAAUACAAGAUGAUCAAAGUAAAAGGCAAAAUACUGGUGUGACUGUUGUUGCUUGAACUUUACACAUGUCAAGUGCAAAAGAUAAAAACCUAAUAUAUGUGAACAUGUCAUACUUUGGGGUGAUUGAAUGAAUAUUGAAAUUGGAUUACACAAUGUUUCGGAUGCAGAUUUUCUAUUGUAUGUGGGUUGAUAACAACAAUGACUUCCGAGUUGAUGAGUUAGGGUUCAUGUAGGUGGAUCUUAAUAGGCCAUGAUAUAAAGAUAAAUCAUUUAUUCUAACAUCACAGACUUAACAAGUAUUCUAUGUUAGUGACUCAGCUGAUAUGAAAUGGUCAAUUGUUCUUUUAACUAACAAAAUAAUCGUCAAUAAUAUUGAUCGCCAAAAAUAUGAAGAUAUUGAUGAAGAUGAUCCUUUUUUGGGACAUAUCAGUCGCAUGAGAGGAGACCAACUAUGAUUUAUAUACAAGAGAUGAUCACGAUGAAGGGCUUUGGGUGAAUCAAUAUGUUCCUCUAAACAACAAUGAUCUUAUAAGCCAAAAACAAUCAAAGAAAAGGAAAAAGUAGAUGCAACUAGUUUUUGUAUAAUCGUAACUUAAUUUUGAUUGUUUGUAAUUUGCAUAAUUUUGUUUAUUUAUAAUUUGCAUAAUUUUUUUAUUUGUAAUUAUAUACUCUGCCAAAACAUCAUUGACAUAAUAUUCAUUAUUUAUAGUUUGUAUUAUAUUCAUGUUAAUAAAACAAACUUCUGGAAUGUAUUAACGUGUCCGUGCUGUCGAGAAAGUAUAAAUGUCUGUCCUUUUGAGAAUGUCAGUGCUGCUAAUAAAUAUAUAUACACGUAUUAAUGUGUACAAAUCAACAACGAAUUCUAGGGGAAACCCUAGCAAGCGUUGUUGUAAAAGAUUAAUACAACAUCACUUUUUAUAGACUACACUAUUGUAUAUGCUUAACACAACAUCACUUUUUUAUAGACUGCACUAUUGUAUAUGCUUAACACAAGAUCACUCUUUCUGUGCUACGCUGUUAUAUUAAGGUGUUGUUUGAGAAUAUUUAUGAAUAUUACAACAACGAUUUUUUAAGUAUGCGUUGUUAUAUAUAUGCUAUACAACAGUGCAAGAUUAAGCAUUGUUAAUAAUGUCUAUAUAAUGCAUUGUUUAUAUAUUAAAUAUAUGACAAGGCUUUGUGUAUGAUGCGCUCUUGUAUGUAUGAAAUAUAUGACAUCGUUUUGUUGUGUAAUGCGCUGUUGUCUAGAUUCAACACAACAGCGUAAUAUAAGAGCUGUUAAUCACGAUAAUAUACUAUUGCGAUCAUAUAAAAAGUACACAAAAACGCUAUUAUACAUCUAAAUUACGUGUUGUUGAACUGUCUAGUGUAGUGAAUGUUGAGUGGAUCUAGACGCCAACAACGUAUCAAUUAUCAAAUUGGAACCAGAGUACAAAAUCUCAUGUAUAUCAGAGUACUAAAAUGCAUAACUUAAGAGAGAGCAAAGCCAUAUUUGCAAAAGCAAAGAUUUUUAAUUAACAUGAUUAUAUCAACUCAACAUUAACAAAGCACACACAUACUCUAAGUGCUUACAUUGCAGUUGGUACAUGAUCAACAGUUUGUCACUAGUGAUAUUUAUUAUUACAAGGCAUAAAGAUAAAGAUAGCUUACAACUUUCUAGUAUAAGCUAUCAUACUCAGCAAUACAUUCAUCAUAAGGGUUAACCUCAUACCCAGCAAUUUAAUUUGCAGACCCACUAUUGCGAUGUGGCCACAAUAUUGCGGUUGUGGUAACUACCGCAACCGCAUCACACCCUAAUUCUAGUGUGAUUCUGAAUCACAAUGAUGUGGUUGCAUUAGGUCACAAUGUAACCGUAUUAGGCCGCAAUGCAACUGUAUCGAACCGCAUUUGGGCCGCAUCAGGCCACAUUAAAUUCAAAAAUAGUUUUUUAUUCACAAAAUAAUUCACACAACAAAGGCCGCAAUCCGUAUCACAACGGUCGUAAUCCGCAUUAUAAUGACCGUAAUGAAUGCAAUGACAGUAACCGCACGCAAUUUAUAAAACUGCUCACACUUGCCAAGGGGUCCAAAUCCACAUGUCCUAGGCAAUUUCUGAAGCUCUUGCUCAAACUGUUGCUCCUGUUGCCUUCUUUCCAAUUGCUCACUUUGGUUCUCGAAUAUUUGCUGCAAUUUACGGUACUGACAUCUCUGGUUGUUCAGUUCAUUCAGUUGGUCACAGCAUUGUUCCAAUUCUUCUGAUUCCUCGCUAUUCCUGCUACGUCGAAUAACAUGCUUGAUUCCUCGUAAGGUCCUAGAACGAUCUUCUUCCUCCUCUUGCUGCUGUUAAAUCCUCUGAAUCAGGUUCAGCUGCUGGAGUUACCUGACGUAGCUUUGUUCAGAUCGGAAGGCGCUGGUGUGGACCACUAAAACAAGAGCAGCAAAGAGAGCAAUGAGAAUUGUGAGCCUAGCCAUUUCAGUAAGAAUGCAAUGACUACUAUGUUUUAACUUUGUUGAUGAUGGGUUAAGCAUGGAGAGUGGAUAAGCAUUAUGUAGAGGAUAUGGGAUAUUGCAUGUCAAUUACGUGGAAGGGAAGUGGUGUCGGUGGAAUUUUGUGUUUUGAUGGGGUGGGUGGAUGUGUUUGCUUUUUUAUUUGCUUCAGUGCUUACACCUCAUAGUUUCAUGCAGAUAUUGACACAAGAGGCCAUCGUGAUUUCUUUGGGUCCCCGGCAACUGCGUGAUGGAAGGUUCUUGUUUGUUGUCCUGCGUGAAGAAUUAGGUUAAUGAUUCUAUUAUUUGUGACAUUUUUUUUAUUCACCAAAAGUUAAUUUAGAUGAAGUACAAGUAGUAAAAAAGUUACAAGUGCAUGUAAUCUACAAUACUAAAGUCUAGCAGUAAAAAUAAGUUAAGCUUUCCGAGGGUCUUUCUUCCCAGAUAUUAUAAGUGAAGAAGAUUUUUGUUAUGAUUUUGACACGGUUUUUAUGAAGAUAUUAAGAUCAAAAAAGAAGAAAAUGGAAGAAAAUUUUGAAGACAAUGAAGAUCAAGCUUCAACGCAAAACAGUUUAUAAAUCUUCAAUAUGUAUUGUUAUCCUUAUACUUUAUGUAUAGUUUAGUAGCAAUGCUCAAGAAAUGAGAAAACAAUUUUGAAAAUAAAUUGGAAAACUUUUAGUCAAUUUUAAACAAUUUUCAAAAUGUUAAGUAAUGAAUUACUUAACCUGAGUGAUAAGUUACUAGACUUAGGUAACAGAUUACUUGGACAGUGUAAUAGUGAGUAACAUCUAAGAUUGCAUAACACGUUACCUGACUGAAAUGGGUUACACAUCAAAAAUCAACUCAAUGGAACCGGUUACUAUAAGCAAUAAUCGAUUACUCAAUUGAACAUAAUGUUUGGGUAAUCGAUUACAGUUUCAAUCACUAUGCCAAAUAUCGCAAUUAACGACGGUCAUUUAACCUCACUUGCUAGAACAAUGCUGUUAAAAACGAGGCAGAAUAUAAUCAACAAGCUCAUUAAAUGACCGUUGUUGAUAGGAUGUGACAUUUAAGCAUCAAAAGUGCUUACAGGAGCAUUGUUGAAGAUAUAUUCUUGAGUGAGCGCUAUUGAAAAUGUCAUAUCAACAAUGCUCUCUUGAGUGAGCGCUAUUGAAUAUGACAUAUCAACAAUGUUUUCUUAAAUGUGCACUGUUGAUUAGAUACGACGUUUAAGUAUCAUAAAAAUUAAUUGUGGAGUACUUGACCUAAACGACAUUAUCUCAUUUAUGUGUCUCUUCGUUCGCCGAAGUUCUUUUGCUAUCAUUACACAAAUACAUGUUUAUGCAUAUUCUUUGUUUGGUUGCUUCGUGAUGUGGAUUGCACAUCUGCCAAGGACGAUGGUAGUCGUUCUCUUUCCAUUUUCAUCUAUAUAUGUUGUGGUUCUGCCAAGUCGUGUAAGACAUUUGUUAUUUUCUUCUCAACCAAGUACGGUAAUAGGUUCAACUGUUUCUUUGUAUCUGUUAUAUUCAGUGAUUUGUAUUUGUAUUUGUAUUUGUGUUUGUCUAAUAUGUCUUCAUUGUCUCCUUUUAUAAUUAGUCAUAGCACGCAGAGUGAAUUUCAUCAAAGAUAUAAAUGCCUCUAGGGAUACCUAAAAGCUGAAAAUAAGAAUUGCAAGUCUUUGACGGAUUGGAAUAUAUGCAGCUCCUUCACUUGUAAUGAUUUUGAUUGAUCGAAAGGUACUUUAAUUUUUAGGGUUCCUUUUUUAAUUCCUUAUUUAUUCCUUUUUUGGAUCAUAAUAUGUUUAUGUACCAGGAGGAUAAAAUUGAGGUUGUUGUAAAGGAUUUUCAUAUUUCACAAUGGGACUCUCAACUUAAAGAGAGUUUUAGUUAUAUUGUUGAAAACUUUGAUGUUGUUCUCAAUGAUGGACAAUAUCGAUGUUGUAACCAUCCUUACAAACUAAUAUUUGAAGAAGGAACAAUAUUGAUACAUAGAGAGCUUUGUAACAUUCCAAAUUACAUUUAUCAUUUUACUAAAUUUGAAGAUAUCUUGAUGGAAAUUGUGCUUACAGACUUUCUCAUAGGUAAUUUUACUACAUUUGAAGAUACAUUCAUUCAAUUUAUAACCAGAUAUCUGCAUGUAAUUAAUUUAUUUGUCUUACUAGAAAUCAUUGGCGAGUUUGUUGACAUUGAGAUGACUCAAAUAGAUUCUACCCGUAAGAAGGUGGUUUUCACCAUUAGGGACUUUGAGGUUAGCUUUUGCACAACCAAAUUUUUCCAUUCAAAAUUUGUAGUCUGCUUUGAUUUUUCUUAAACUCUUGUAGGGGUAACAACCUAAAGUGCACUCUUGGGGGACAAUUUGCAACACAUUUAUGACAUACAUAGAAAAUCACAAAGUUUAUCAUAUUGUGUGGUUUUGACCCUUGCAAAGAUGAGGGAAGUGGAAGGUAUGUGUCUAAAUAUUUUUUUAUUCAAAUUUUUUAAUGAAAAAGUUUGUUUGAAACAAAUUAUUAAUCUGACUUGCAAAUUGUAGUGGGAGGUUAUCAUGUGUCCAUACAAAGUAUAUUGUGUGGUUCUAAAAUUUAUAUCAAUGACUCCAAUAUACCAGAUAUUGAAAUAUUUUUGUGGAGGUGAUUCAUUUUUUUUGUUUCAUUAUUCAUUCAUUUUUCAUUUCUCGAAUUAAGAGUAACAAGUCGUUUUUCAUUUAUAGCUUGGACACCACCAAAAGUUAUGAAUCUUACAGUGAAUGUGUUAGUUCGUCUUCUUCAUGUUCUCAGGUAAAAUAUCUAUUCAUACUUUUUACUCUUCAUGUUUUCUGCAUAUAUUUAAAGAAGAUUAUGUUAAUUUCUACGUUUUUUUGUUGGGCAUUAAACCAAUUGAGAAAGGGAAGUCAGUAGGUUAUAUUCCUAAAAAAGAAUGUGUUUGUCACUUUUGUCAUACUACGUGCAAUUUUCAAUCUCUUUGUUUAAUUUCUUACUAGAUUUGAAUGUUUAAUCUUUAUAUUUUCAAUCUUCAAUCUAAUUUUUUAUUUUAGUUUUUUAAGAAAUUCUUAAUGACAAUAGGGGAUGAUGACCCGGACUAUGUGGAAUAUCUUUAUUCCACUUAGAUGGCUUCUUCGACUGAGGGACACUUUGAAGAAUGAACAAUUAUUGACGUUAAUUUCUUUUUUGAUGUUUGUCUUUUGGAUGGUUGUGCAAACUCCAUAAACAUUGUUAAUUUUUAGUUCUAUUUUGAUCACUGAACAUUGUAAUGAUAAUCUUGAAAUUUUUGCUUUUGUUCUACAAUAUAGCUCAUCAAAUAUUCCUCGUGUUAUAUUAAUGUGUGUUUGUGCUGUUUAGAAUAUAUGUCUGUUGUUGAUAAUUGAAUAUGCAGGUAAUCAACAACGCAUGCUCUAUGGCAAGCUUUGUUGAAUUAAUCAUAUACAACAACGUCCAUUUAGAUGACGUUGUUGUAUAUAAUUAAUACAACAACUCUAAUGUAUAAUAACGCUCGUUGGGUGAAGUGGUGUUGUAUGUAUGACAUACAACAAUGCCCACAUAUGUGUUGUUAAAGCAUGCCGAUAUUCUACUGCACUCAUAUAGAUAGCGUAUGAAAGCAUUGUUAUAUACCUAACAUGCGCGUUGUUGAACUGAAAAACUGGCAUAGUGAAUAACCGAUUAGAGAGAGUUGUUAAAUCAGAUUUUCAAAUCUAAACUCAACAACUUUCAUCCACAUUGAAUGGGUUUCAUUCCAAUCGUGUCUCACCUUCGUGUAAGGGUAUAUUGGUUGGUUAGAAGCCUAUUUAAAGGCCAAAGAACAUCCACUUCAUGACACACUUUAAUCAUCCAAACUUUCACAUCAUUCACAUACAAUAGUCUACAUUUUCUUAUGCAACUUUUGUUCUAAACUUUCAGAAUUUUUCUGAAGUUGCAUUGAUUGCUUGUUCUAAAGUUUGCUAAACUUAAACACAUAUUGAGCAUUGCAUACUAAAUGUAUAAAGAGAAAAAAGAUUGCAAGUUAUAACAAUUUUAUAUCUUGUAUGGCAAUCCUUGCCCUAGAAAGUUUUCUUCAUAUCUUAUUAUAAAAUUUUCAUCACAAGGGUGUGGUGAGAAGGGAGAUGGAGUACUUGGAUAGGUUGUUUUCCAAUGGUGUGAGGUAUUAGUGAAUGUGUGAUGUACAAGGACUCUUGGUGACAUAAAUUGUAAUUGCAACUCAUAAUAUUAAGUAAACAAAUCUCUUGUGAUACAAGAGUAUUGGACGUAGCCUUCAGUAGACAAGAAGGUGAACCUGUAUAAAACAUGUGUGUACUUUCUCUCUUCUCUUUACUGUGUUACUUUUACUGUUUUUACUUGGUGAUUUUUCUGUAUUUAUUCUGCUGCAAUAAACUCUUAUUUUCAUAGCAGAAAUAUUGGUCAUAUAAAUUAGUCAACUAAUUCACCCAUUUUUAGUUGUCAUUUAAUAGUUAUAAUUGACACUAGAGCUUGAUUUGGGUAAGUUACUCCCAAAGAUUCUAAUCUUUUAGAUGACCUCUAGGUCUUUUUGGGAGACAUGAGAAAGGAAAAAGGGUUUGGGAAAUACAUUUUUUUAGCCUUAUAUCUUUUUCUAGAAAACCCAAAGCCAGACCAAGAUACAAGUUUAAAAGACUUUGUUGGGGAUUUGGUUUUCUCAAGGUACGUACUAGGGAAAAAAACCUUGACUCUAUUAAAUCAUAUCAAAUUUUGAUAAAAAAAUAUAUAUCUUCUUUGAUCAAUUUUUCUGCUAUGAAAUCAAAGUGUUUAUGCAGCAGAAAUAUUGUAGAAAGAUUACCAAUUGAUACCUUCAAAAUAAAGAGAUAGAUUAGAGAGAAAAAAAAAGAACACAAUGUAUUUUUAUAUUGGUUCACCUUCUUGUCCACUGAAGGCUACGUCCAAUACUCUUACAGAACAAGAGAUUUAUUUACAAGAUAUUUUGAGUUGUAAUUACAAUCUCUCUCUCUGAUACUCUUUGUACCUUACACACUCACAAAUACCUCACACACUUGGAAAAUAACAUUUCCAAGUACUCUAUUUCCCUUUCUCACCACACUCUUGUGAUGACAAGUUUACAAUGGGUUUGAAGAAUGAAUUCUAUGACAGGAUUGCCUUUACAAGAUAUAACAAUUAAUAACUUGUUAUCCUUAGACUGAAUAAGAUUAAUACAAUGCUCUUGAAAGGAUUAAGUAUGUAAACUUUAGCACAUUGCACUUGAAGCAACUUAAUAAAAAAUCUAAAAGUUUAGAAUAAAAUUUGCAAGAAAAAGUGCAGAGAAUUAUAUAUGAAAUUGUGUGUAAUUCAUAUGUAAUGAUUGUGUUUCAAAAUGGGACUCUUAAUGCCUUUAAAUAGGAUUCCAAUAAGCCAAUAUACCCUUCCAUGAAAUUGGGACGGGAUUGGAAUGAAACGUGUUGAGUUUGAAUGAAAGUUGUUCAGUUUGGAUUUGAAAAUCUAGUUGAAACAACAUUGUGUAAUCGAUUACAUCAUGAUGUAAUUUAUUACUUAAAUAUUCUGCCCAAAGAUAUAAGCGAUUAAUCAUUAAUUUAAUUGGUAACUCUCUAUCAGUUAUUGUUGGAUAACUCUUUACUUAGUUAGGUAACUUGUUACCAAUUGUCACACAAUUCAAGUAAUCUAUUACCAAGGUCUAGUAACCUGUUACUCAGGUCAAGUAACCCGUUACUUAGCUUUUUGAAAAUUGUUUAACUUUUUCUAAGAAUUUUCAAUUCUUUUCAAAAUAGUUUUUCACUUCUUUUGAGCAUUACUUACUAAUUAUAUUGAAGUGUAAAAGAUAGAAGUACUUAUUGAAGACUUAGACUCUAAUUGAAGCUUGAUCUUCAUGUAUCUUCAAUAUCUUCUUUGUUUUUCUUCUUUUGGUGUGAUCUUGAUGUCUUCAUCAAAAUUGUGUCAAGGUCAAGAGCAAGAUCUUCUUCACAAUUCUUGUGUGCUCGCUUUUAGUAGUCACAAGUUCUGGUACUACCCCUACGUACAAAUUGAGUUUCAACAAUAUCCAUGUAUUCUUAUUUUUAAUUUGAUUGUCUCGAGGUCCGAUAGUAUAAAUGUGUUCUUUUUCUAAAUGUUGCAUUACGAUUAUUAUCUUCAUUUUCUUCUUUUUUACAAAAUUGGUGUUCAUUUUUUUAGUGCUUACUUACUAUGGUAGCAUACAAACCUCAGUAUGUUCGCUAUCUAGUGAGUAACAAUUAAAGAGGGACAACUCUAAAUACCCAAUUUUGUUUGAACCAUUUUCACAAAAGUGAAAAAAUUACAAAAUAUAAAAGUUACAAUUUAAAAUACCAAAAAAGGAUAUUCUAAUUAUUUUUAUGCUUUUAUAGAGUCAACUAAUUAUUUUUAUUUAUUUAUGUUUAUUAUGGUAAUUUUUAGGAUUUUAUAAAGUCAUAAACGACUUUUGUUCAAAAACGAUACUCUUAUAAUUUUUAAAGCUAAAAUGAAAUAUUUUUAACCCAACUAGAUAUUUAUUCUUAAAAAAAUAAUUUUAUCAAAAAAUUAAUUUUAAGAUGCCUCACAACUAAUUUUUAUAUUGGAAUAAUAACUAAUAGUUAUUGGUUUUAUUCUAAAAUUAAUUAGCGGUUUCAUAUUUUUAAAUUUAUAAUAAAUUGGACAUUUUAGUUUUAAAUCCAGAAAUUAAAUGAGCCACUUCAAAAUAAUUAAUUCUAUUUUUCUUAAUUUUUAAAUUAUAUAUAAUUUUUACUAUAAAUGGGUGUAAUAGGUAAAGAGGGAAAAAAAAUCAAAGAAUCCAAAAAAACAUAGAAGAAAGUAAAAUAAAAUUAUCAACAAAGAUAAAAUACUGCCUUGAUUUUAGUGUCCAAUCAUUGGGCAAUUUCGUUGGUUAGUUGCCAUCCGUUUGGAUAGAGGACAAACGCGAGAUCGUUGUCUGGGUGGUAGUUUCUUACAAGUUGCCACUAGACAAUUCUAUUGCAAGUCAUUAGGUGCGUUAGAGUCAUCGAUAAGACUAUCGUUGCUCCAUCACCGGUCAAUCAUUAGCCAUCUCCUCGCCCCCAAAUUUUGUGUGAGGAAAGCCUUGUCUAAUAAGAUGCUGCCAUAUGAAAACAUCGAAGCCCCCAACAAUCCAGCACAAACAACAUCAACAAGUGUCAAGUUAGGAUAGACAACCACCAUUGUUAUUUUCCCUAUCGUCGCAACAUGCACAAAAUUUGGCGUUAGACCACUGUUUUUUCCACAUUGUUUCGUUCAAAUUAUUGGUCGAUAACCCAAAUGUCCCCGCUGACAUAUCUACUCCUCGUUUUCUACAUCGGCAGUCCCCGUUUUCUGAUUUAAUGAAACUAUAUUAAAAUAAUAAUAAAUAUUUAAAUAUCAUUUUUAAUAAUAAAAAUAAUAAAUUUAAUUUUCUUGUAUAAAAUAUUUUUCAUAAAAAUAGCUCAUUAAAAUAAUUAACUAAAUCCAAACAAUUAUAAUAUAAAAUAAUUAAAAAUGAUGUUUUAUCAUUAUAAUUAAUUUAUGGAAUUUGAAUCGCAUACAUCAUGGCCCGUGUCAUGGCAUGCGUCGUAUCCUACUUUCUACUUCAAGCGAAAAGUCAGUCUACGACUAGUAUUGUCGCUUUGCUAUUGAUUUCAUUUAUUAAAAAUGUGUUAUCACCUAAUUAACGGAAGAUGAAUAGUUUGGUCGUCGCACGUGUCAUCUCUUUCUUUCUGCCUCAAGAGGAAAGUCUGCCCACGAAUAAUGUCGUCUCUUUGCUAUUGAUUCCAUUUAUUAAAAAAAAUGAAUUAAAAAUGAUUUAUCACAUAAUUAAUGGAAUUUGAAUAGCAUAGUCAUGACCCAUAUUCUCUCUUCUUAGCUACUUAAAGUAGAUAGUUAGUCUAGGAAUAAUGUCAUCUCUUCGAUAUUGAUUUCAUUAAUUCAAAAAUAACUAUAAUAAAAAAUAUUUUACCAAAUGAAAAUAAUAUAACUUUUAUAGUUCAAUUAUAGUUCACGUCGUCUCAAACUUCUCUGAAAAUGAGGAGAAUGUCUAUGACCAAUACAAUCUCUUCCUUAUUAAUUGCAUUUAAUAUUAAUAACCCAUAUUUUUAAGUAAUUAUUUAUUUUAAAAUUAAAAAAAAUGUAAUUGAGCUUUUAUAGUUCAGUUUUUGUUCAUGUCAGCUCUAACUUCUCUUGAAAUGGGAAGAAGGUGUAGGACCAAUAUUAUCUUUUCGCUAUUAGUUUCAUGAAAAUGAAAUAAUUAUAUCUUAUAAUUAUUUUGAAAGUAAAUCUUAGAAAUCAAAUCAAAUCAAGUGAAAAAAUAUUUUUUAACCUAAAACUAUGUAGGUUUAAUUUUUUUAUUAUACCUAGGGAUAUGUAGGAGCAUGAUAAACUUUUGUCGUACACAAAAGUAAAAAAUAAUAUAUUUCGCUUUAGCAUUUGAAUUUUGAACAAAAUAUAUUAAGGGUAUGAAAAUUCAUGCAGUUAGUAAGAGUAACAUUUUAUUACAAGGAGACUAAGUACUAAUAUUUUCCUCAAUUCAUAAUCGAUUCUCCACCUCAAAACUCAAGUUCAAAUACCAUUUUUUUCAAUUUGAGCUUAACAUUGAGUUUUCUACAUUUUAACCUUAAAAAUCGUUGUGGCAACUCCAAAUCUUUUGGGAGAGGUAAAAAUUGAGUUCACCUCUUCAAAAGUCACAGAAUCAUUUUCCAAUCGAAAAUCGAGUCACGAUAAUAUUUAUUUCUGUGAGUGACACAUGCAAUUUGAGAUUAUGAGAUUGAAAGAAAAUACUACAUACUGGAAAAGAAGAAGCGAUAUUCUAAGGAAUAUCAUAGAUUAAACAAUAAAUUAUAAGUUGUGAGCAAUAUAUAGUUAUAUGAUAACAAAAAAAUGAAUGGAGGCAACACUACAAGAAAAUUCAGUAUAGGGGAGGGUUUACUGUUAUUGGUAGAGGUUUUCAAACUCUAUAGUAAUGUCUUUGGAGGUUUGAAGAACCAUCACAUUUAUGGUCGCCACAAAUGUUUAGCAGAGGUUUUUAGGGACCUUUAUUAUUGUGCAAGUUUGCAGCGGUUUUGUUGGGAAGGUUUUUAACCUACUCUGGAUGUAUUUUUUUUUUGUAGAGGUCAACUAUUUCAAUUAAUAAACAAUAUUGGUAGAAAUUGUCACUGUUCUACUAACCUCCCAUAAUUUUCACUAAUGAUGGAUCUAUUAUAUUAUUGUAUUGAGUAGAAGAUAUUAAUCUUAAUUUAAAUUCAUAACUUUAGGGCUAUUAAAAAUAAAAUUAUAAAUGCAAAUAGUAGACCAAAUUAAAAUUUUAUUGAAAAUAAUAAAGUUGAUAUAACAUAGAGAAUUGUUAUGUGGUCCAAAACCUACAUUCUUAUAAAUUCCAAUACAACUUAAUUAAAAUCCCAAAAUAAAAGUAAGAGUAAUUUGAUAUAAAAUCNNNNNNNNNNNNNNNNNNNNNNNNNNNNNNNNNNNNNNNNNNNNNNNNNNNNNNNNNNNNNNNNNNNNNNNNNNNNNNNNNNNNNNNNNNNNNNNNNNNNUGUAUGGUGAGCAUUUUCAGUGACUUUUUAGAGAAUUGCAUAGAGGUGUUUAUGGAUGAUUUUACAGUUUAUGGAUCUUCAUUUGAUGCAUGUUUGGAUAGUCUGGAUAGAGUUCUUCAUAAAUGCAUCGAAACUAACCUUGUUCUAAAUUACGAAAAAUGUCAUUUCAUGGUAGAGCAAGGCAUAGUUUUGGGGCAUGUGAUCUCAAAUAGGGGAAUCGGGGUAGACCCUGCCAAGAUAGAUGUUAUUUCACAAUUGCCUUACCCCUCUUGUGUGCGAGAGGUUCGUUCUUUUCUUGGUCAUGCAGGUUUCUAUCACAGGUUCAUUAAAGAUUUUAGCAAGAAGGCUCUUCCACUAUCCAACCUGUUGCAAAAGGAGGUGGUCUUUCAUUUUGAUGAGAGAUGUAAGGAGGCAUUUGAUUGCCUCAAGACAACCUUGACCACCACUCCUAUUAUCCAGGCACCUGAUUGGAUAGUCCCUUUUGAGCUGAUGUGUGAUGCUUCUAAUUAUGCAUUGGGAGAUGUCCUUGCUCAAAAAGUGGACAAACUGCCUAGGGUAAUUUAUUAUGCUUCUAGGACUUUAGAUGUUGCACAAGCAAAUUACACCACAACUGAAAAAGAGCUUUUAGCUAUUGCAUUUGCUAUGGAUAAGUUUAUGUCUUAUUUGCUUGGUUAUAGAAUUGUUGUUUUCACUGACCAUGCAGCUUUGAAGUUCCUAUUGAAGAAAGAUGAUUCUAAACCAAGGUUGAUUAGAUGGAUGCUCUUGCUCCAAGAGUUUGAUUUGGAGAUCUGUGACAGGAGUGGAGCACAAAAUAUGGUGGCUGACCACUUGAGCAAGAUUGAAGGAGUUUUUGAUAUGAUGCCUAUCAGAGNNNNNNNNNNNNNNNNNNNNNNNNNNNNNNNNNNNNNNNNNNNNNNNNNNNNNNNNNNNNNNNNNNNNNNNNNNNNNNNNNNNNNNNNNNNNNNNNNNNNGUAUUGACAUCUUCAACAAUGCAUAUUAAGGUUUGUGCUAUUGUUGUGUAUCUAGUUGUUUACUAAUUAUUUUCAUUAACACAUCUUCAAUAACGCUAACAAUAUGUAGCGUUGUUGAAUAGAAUCUAAUUGACAGUGCUAUAUUAAUUAUGCGCUAUUAAACUGAACUUAUUUUCCAAUUUAACAGCGUGUUCAUAGUUAUAUGCUGUUAAAUUAAUAUUUUACAUAACUAAAAAUAUUUAUACAACAUGAUUUAAGGUUAAUUAAGAUGAAGUUACCAUGAAGUAGAUUACUAUAUAAUUGUGUUUACUAAUACGAAACGGGAAAAAUAUUAAACAUUACAUUUUAUUAAUUUUUUUUGUAUUUAUUAAUUAUUGUUAAUUUGUUUAUUGUAUAUAAUUUAUUAAUAAUGAACAACAAAAGUAUUAAAGAAAAUAACCAUCCAAAUAAUUAACAAAAAAUAGAAAUUAACAUCCAAAAUAAUUGUUUUAUUAUUCAUUCAGAGAGUCAAAAUACAUUAUAAUGAACUAAAUCAUUUGGUACUUGCGAAUAUAAUGAACUAAAUGAUUUGGCAGAAGAAGAAUACAAUGAAAAUGAUUUCAAUGAAAGAAAUAAUUUUUUCCUCGACUCCUCUAGACAAAUCUUCAUCUCACGCAAAUCUUGUAUGACAGCCAUUUUCCUUCUGAAACCUAGGACCAUUUUGAAAAUUAAAAGAGCUCAAUGAAUUAAAAUCAGUACUUUACAAAUUAAUCUUGUCCAUAAUUUUUUCUUCGACUCCUCUACACAAAUCUUGUAUGACAAUUCAUUGAUUUCCUUUUAAAAUCUGGGUCCUUUUGCAAUGAACGAAAUCAAUGAACUUAAUGAAUUGUAGAUGAAGAAAAAUAAUUCAUUGAUUGUUUUCCUUUUAUUUCCUUUCAAUUGAAAGAGAUCAAUCAAUUAAUUGAAAGAGAUCAAUGAACUAAAUCUUCAUCUCACGCAAAUCUUGUAUGACAGCCACCUGCCUUCUAAAAUUUGGGUCAUUUUGCAAAAUAAAAAAUUGUUAAAGGUCUCAUUGACAUGAUUCUGAAACAGAAACACAAUUUUUUCCUCGACUCCUAUAUACAAAUUUGGGUCCUUUUUUCUCUUUUUCACUCUCUAAAGUAUUGUUCUUUUUUUACUGCUUUGUGUUUUUUCCUCCUAACUUCAUGAACAUACUCUUAUGGAAACACAUACUCUUACUGAUGAAAUAGAACAUUGAGUGAACCACAAUAUUUAUAGAUGAGUGAACCACAAUACCAUUAAUAUUUCAAUAAAUGAAGAGAUGCAUAACGUACCACUCAACCAUUAAUAUUUCAACAACCAAGAAACGUAUAACCACUCAAACAUUAAUAUUUCAAAAAACAAAGAGACGCAUAACUGCCACCAUUAAUAUCUCGGACGUUUAAAAAGUCGUAAAACAUCAACAACGCAUAAUUAAGGAAGCGCAGUUACUAUGUCAUCUUCAACAACGCUUCCUUAAUUAUGUGUUGUUCCAUGUAUUAACAUCAACACCGCUUUCUAUCAAAUGCACUAUUAAACAUAUAUCAUUCAAGUCAGCGCUAACAUUACUGAUGUUCAAUAGCGUUUUGUCAAGAAUGCGUUGUUGAAGUUACACAAAUUGACAUCCUCUGUUUUAUUAUGCGCUGUUGAUGUUCUUCCGCCUCAUUUUCAACAGCGUCGUUCAAAAUUGCAUUGUUGAAUGACGAUGUUUAUUACGAUAUCUGGCGUAGUGCGAGAAAAAGUGAAAUUGCACGAGGAGAAAAAGUGUUGAGCAAUUUCUAGAUACUAGUCACAAAAAGGGCAUGAAAGACCUCCUCUAUGAACUAAAGAAACCCCCUUUUAAUUAGAGCAUCCAUAGUAGGAAGUCUGUCUUGAAAAGUCGUCAUGCAAAAGAAGUAACCUUCAAAGGAGCUUUUCAUUGCCAAAGAAGAUGGAAGUGGUUGAUGUUGGUAGCUUGAUGGAAUUAUACUAAGCAAGAGUGUUGUAAGCUUAUUUGACCGAAUAUUACUUAGACUUGUCAUGGCGUCACUCCCAAGAAUCUGGUUUAUUAUCCUGAAUGUCAGCUUGUUGAAGACCUUGCAAUAAAAUAUCAGUUAGCUCAAGUUCCUAACUAAAAAGGUGAUGUCUCCAAGUAAAGUCCCAAACCCACUUCCCGCUGACCAACUUCCUAACUCAUUAUUAUGACUAUUCUGAUGCAAACUAAGAGAAUAAAGUCUCCUAAACCUAGAGGAUAAAUUGGUAGGAUCAAUCCAAUUAUCAUGCCAGAAUCUAGUCGACUUCCCAUCCCCAACACGACGAAUGAUACUAUUACAGAACCAAGAAUUUUUAUUGAUACCCCUCGGAUAGAGAUUACCCAAAUCUUGAACCCAAACAAAUUUACUAAGAGGAGAAGACCUAAACCCGACACUAGAAGGAUUAGCGAAAUCCUGAUCAUACUUAGAACUCAACACUCUAGACCAAAGAUUGUCCCCUCUGAGUAUUCAUACGCCAAACUCAUUUCCCAAGAAGGGCAAAGUUGAAUAUGUGAAUAUUUUUUACCCCUAACAUAGUAUUCUAAUCCUAUUUAUACUGCUUUUCUUAUGGUUCCUAAUCAUAUGUUAUGGUGGAUUUUUUCGAUUAAGUCGAUGUUCCCAAAUUCACGGUAAUCGUGGCAUAGAAGAAUCAUCAUACAAAGCUAUUUCAAGCUAAUGGUCUAGAAAAUGUUCCGCCAGGUAUGUUAUUCCUCUUGUCCUGUUUAUACAAACACAUAAAACAAUAGCAUUACUGUAAUUAAUCAAUACAUGAGGCACGAGAUUGGUACGUAGGACUCGUGGAUGUUAUCUAUGAGAUUGAUAUACAUAAAAAUUGUAGAUUGCAUUUAGGAGAUUGUUUAAAUAUGAAGAAAAAAAUUAGGACUCGUGCAUAGAAGUCACGAGUUCCAUGGAGAAGAGAGAAGGACAGGAGAACUCGUGCGUGGCAGGCACGAGUUUCUCAGAAAAUCACAUUUCUGGUCCAUGAUUUUAGCAAAGUCAUGGAUGCAUUCCACGACUCUCCAAAAAGUUACACUAAUCUCGUAAAUAUUUCAAAACAUAUAUUAUAUAUAUAAUAGUGUAAUUAAACUAUAUUAUCCACAUAAAUUUUCCCUUAAGCAAAGCAUAUUAGAGUCAUAUAUAUAGCCCAAGCAAAUAUUUUAGUUUAGCAUCAUUAUUACAACUCAUUGACAAAGCAUGGGCAAACCGUAAAGCAUACUUUAAAUGCUUUACCAUAAGUACAUGAUCAUCAACUACUGAUCAUGAUCUUUAUUAAAAGCAUAAUUAAAGAUAGCUUAUAUCCUUCUAGUAUAAGCUACCAUAUCUGAUACUACAUUUUAUUCUUCAUCAGGGUUAAUGUUACACCUGCGAAGGGGUCCAAACCCACAGAUCCUAGGCAAUUUCUCUAGCUCUCCCUCCAACUGUUGUUCCUGUUGCCUCCCCUCGCAUUGCUCGCUUUGACUCUCAUAUAUCUGUUGCAGUGCACGACACUGGCAUCUCUGGCUGUUAAGCUCAUUCAGUUGCUCACAGCAUUGGUCCAGUUCUUCUGAUUCUUGGCUACUCUUGUGACGUAGAAUAACAUGCUUGAUUCCUCGCAAUUUACGAGCACGAUCUUCUUCCUCCUCUUGUUGUUGCUGAAUCCUCUGAUCUAUGUGGUUCUCACAGUGUCUCAGGUUCACCUGCUGGAGUUGCCUCUUGCAGCUUUGUUCAGAAGAUCGGAAGGCGCUAGUGUGAACCACUAGUACAAGAGCAGCAACAAGGGCUAUGAGAAUAGUGAGCUUAGCCAUUUCAGUGGGAUAUUAUGACUUACUUGUUAUAACUGAGUUAAGGAU